rnacentral:rRNA from 1 species
GAUGAACGCUGGCGGCGUGCCUAAUACAUGCAAGUCGAGCGAACAGACGAGGAGCUUGCUCCUCUGACGUUAGCGGCGGACGGGUGAGUAACACGUGGAUAACCUACCUAUAAGACUGGGAUAACUUCGGGAAACCGGAGCUAAUACCGGAUAAUAUAUUGAACCGCAUGGUUCAAUAGUGAAAGACGGUUUUGCUGUCACUUAUAGAUGGAUCCGCGCCGCAUUAGCUAGUUGGUAAGGUAACGGCUUACCAAGGCAACGAUGCGUAGCCGACCUGAGAGGGUGAUCGGCCACACUGGAACGGAGACACGGUCCAAACUCCUACGGGAGGCAGCAGUAGGGAAUCUUCCGCAAGGGGCGAAAGCCUGACGGAGCAACGCCGCGUGAGUGAUGAAGGUCUUCGGAUCGUAAAACUCUGUAAUUAGGGAAGAACAAAUGUGUAAGUAACUAUGCACGUCUUGACGGUACCUAAUCAGAAAGCCACAGCUAACUACGU